rnacentral:rRNA from 1 species
AGAGUUUGAUCCUGGCUCAGGAUGAACGCUGGCGGCGUGCCUAACACAUGCAAGUCGAACGGAGCUGCUUUGAUGAAGUUUUCGGAUGGAUUUAAAACAGCUUAGUGGCGGACGGGUGAGUAACGCGUGGGUAACCUGCCUCACACUGGGGAAUAACAGUUAGAAAUAGCUGCUAAUACCGCAUAAGCGCACAGUUCCGCAUGGAACAGUGUGAAAAACUCCGGUGGUGUGAGAUGGACCCGCGUCUGAUUAGCCAGUUGGCGGGGUAACGGCCCACCAAAGCGACGAUCAGUAGCCGGCCUGAGAGGGUGAACGGCCACAUUGGGACUGAGACACGGCCCAAACUCCUACGGGAGGCAGCAGUGGGGAAUAUUGCACAAUGGGGGAAACCCUGAUGCAGCGACGCCGCGUGAGUGAAGAAGUAUUUCGGUAUGUAAAGCUCUAUCAGCAGGGAAGAAAGUGACGGUACCUGAAUAAGAAGCCCCGGCUAACUACGUGCCAGCAGCCGCGGU